UACGUAGGGAGCAAGCGUUGUCCGGAAUCAUUGGGCGUAAAGCGCGCGUAGGCGGCUCGAUCAGUCUGUUGUGAAAGUCAAAGGCUCAACCUUUGAAAGCCGAUGGAUACUGUCGAGCUAGAGUCCCGAAGAGGCGGGUGGAAUUCCUGGUGUAGCGGUGGAAUGCGCAGAUAUCAGGAGGAACACCAACGGCGAAGGCAGCCCGCUGGGACGGUACUGACGCUAAGGCGCGAAAGCGUGGGGAGCGAACAGG
rnacentral:rRNA from 1 species